rnacentral:rRNA from 1 species
GUACGGGGGGAGCAAGCGUUGUUCGGAUUUACUGGGCGUAAAGGGCGCGUAGGCGGUCAGCACAAGUCAGUUGUGAAAUCUCCGGGCUUAACUCGGAAAGGUCAACUGAUACUGUGCGACUAGAGUGCGGAAGGGGCAACUGGAAUUCUCGGUGUAGCGGAUGAAUGCGUAGAUAUCGAGAGGAACACCUGCGGCGAAGGCGGGUUGCUGGGCCGACACUGACGCUGAUGCGCGAAAGCCAGGGGAGCGAACGGG